rnacentral:rRNA from 1 species
CCUACGGGCGGCAGCAGUGAGGAAUAUUGGUCAAUGGACGAGAGUCUGAACCAGCCAAGUAGCGUGAAGGAUGACUGCCCUAUGGGUUGUAAACUUCUUUUAUAUGGGAAUAAAAUGUUCCACGUGUGGGAUUUUGUAUGUACCAUAUGAAUAAGGAUCGGCUAACUCCGUGCCAGCAGCCGCGGUAAUACGGAGGAUCCGAGCGUUAUCCGGAUUUAUUGGGUUUAAGGGGAGAGUAGGUGGAUUGUUAAGUCAGUUGUGAAAGGUUGCGGCUCAACCGUAAAAUUGCAGUUGAAACUGGCAGUCUUGAGUACAGUAGAGGUGGGCGGAAUUCGUGGUGUAGCGGUGAAAUGCUUAGAUAUCACGAAGAACUCCGAUUGCGAAGGCAGCUCACUGGACUGCAACUGACACUGAGGCUCGAAAGUGUGGGUAUCAAACAGGAUUAGAUACCCUAGUAGUC